rnacentral:rRNA from 1 species
UAGAUACCCUGGUAGUCCACGCCCUAAACGAUGAAUACUCGCUGUUAGCGAUACACAGUUAGCGGCUAAGCGAAAGCGUUAAGUAUUCCACCUGGGGAGUACGGUCGCAAGAUUGAAACUCAAAGGAAUUGACGGGGGCCCGCACAAGCGGAGGAGCAUGUGGUUUAAUUCGAUGAUACGCGAGGAACCUUACCCGGGCUUGAAAGUUAGUGAAUCAUUUAGAGAUAGAUGAGUCCGCAAGGACACGAAA